UUGCAGCUUCUUGUAGUUUUAACUUAUUGUUAACGUAACCAUUACCCCCCAGCCUACAUGUGCAUGUGUCCCCGGGAUGGGCAAGGGACCCAGGCAUCUGGGUCUGCCUCCACUCCCCAGGGUCUGCCUCCCCUACCCCCCCCCAGGCAGCUCUGUCCUGUUCCCCUUUUUUCAUCUCUCGCUUUGCUUUUCUUUCUGUUUUUCUGCUUUUCUUCUCUCUAUCCCUGUCUCCCUGUUAUUUAUUGCUCCAUCUUCAUCCUGCUCUCUGUCCCCGUCUUUGUCUCGCUCCAUCUCUCCGUUGUUCUCCAUGUCACCUCAUUCUCCCUCUGUCCCAGUGUCCUGCUUCCUGUCCCUCUCUUGUUCUCUGCAUCCCGUCUUCUGGCUCCCUGUCCCUCACCAGUUUUCUAUAUCCCUCUGACUGUCCUCCCUCUCCCUCUGUCCUGUUGCCCAUUGCUGAGGUUUUUUUCUCUUUCUUUGUGUCCUGCUCCUAUCACUCUGUCUGUCCCUGUACUGGUUUUGUCUGGGAUGGAGUUAAUUUCUUCAUAGGAGCUUGUAUAGGGCUAUGUUUUGGAUUUGUGAUGAAAACAGCACUGAUAACACAGGGCUGUGUUAAGUAUUGCCAAACAGUGCUUACACAGCAUCAAGGCCUUCUCAUGUUUCUCAUGCUGCCCCACCAGUGAGCAGGCUGCAGGUAGGAAAGAAGUUGGGAGAGGACACAGCUGGGACAGCUGACCCCCAACUGACCAAAGGGAUAUCCCAGACCAUAUGACAUUGUGCUCAGCAGUAAAAGCUGGGGGGAAGGAGGGGAUGUUUGGAGUGAUGGCAUUUGUCUUCACAAGUCACUGUUAUGCGUGAUGGAGCCCACCUUUCUUGGAAAUAGCUAAACACCUGCCUGCCAAUGGGAAGUAGUGAAUGAAUUCCCUAUUUUGCUUUCCUUGCCCAUGCAGCUUCUGCUUUACCUAUUAAACUGCCUUUAUCUCAACCCACAAGUUUUCUAACUUUUGCCCUUCCUGUUCUCUCCCCCAUCCCACUGGUGGUGGUGGGGGGGAAGAGCGAGCAGCCGUGUGGUGCUGAGCUGCCUACCAGGGUUAAACGACAACAGUCCCUCUGUUCCUAAUGCUUCUUUCUCCAUCUCUGUCCAACUCCCUCUCCCUUCUUUUCUCUCAUUGUCCCUCUGUCCUGCUUCUUGUCCCCAUCUUUUCUGUCUGUACGUCUCUGUCCUGCUACCUGUCUCAUUGUUACUUGCUGUAUCCCCCCCAUCCAGCCAGCUGUCUCUGGUAUCCUGUCCUGCUCCUCAGACCUUUUUCUCUGCCUCCAUCUCUGUCUCACAGCCCAUUGCUUUUUCCUUCUCCAUCUUUGUCCUGAUCUGCAUCCCUUUCUUUUUUUCUCAGUCUCUCUGGCUUGUUCCCUGUCCUUCUUUUUCUCUCUGUAUGUUCUGCUCCCUGUCCCAGUCUCUCCCCUUCCUUCUUCGUAGUCUCCUUUUCUCUCUCCCUCCCUCUGUCCUGCUCCCCAUUAAUCUCUUUCUCUUUCUAUCCCUCUAUCCCUAAACUGUAUCCUUAAGUUACCUAUUCUAGUCCCAUAGCGAGUUUUCCCUUAUCUAGAGAAUUUAUGGUUUGUCUGAAUGCAUAAAAGCAUGUAAACCUUAAGAUAAAGUGGGAUUUAUCCUCAGUGCUUCUUCAUGAUUUUAUGUUCUCAAUAAACAGCAAAAGCUCAAAAGUGAACUUAUGUUUCAGUCUGCUUUGACAGGUGGUACCAGGGGGCAACAGUGCAGAACUGCCCUGUCGGUAUAGCAUAUGGGGAUGUUCUCGGGGAAACGUGGACAGCACUGCAACUGAUAAAGGACACCAAAAAUCACCGAAAAGACUCUGGGCCUAAUAUACCACCUUGGACCACCCCUCUUGUGGUCUUUGAACUCCUCUAGGACCUCUGUGCUGUUACACAGAAGCUGUCCUGAGGUCCCGUUGUUCCCUGUGAGCCUUUUCCUGCCUGUAUAGUCCUUCUAUGACUCCUCUAAUGUCAUCCCAACCCCUCCUGCAUCCCUCACUGUGUCCCAGAGCUUUCUUUUGCCCCUCUCACUCUCCCUGGACCCCUUUAGUCUCCUUGGGACCACUCCCGAGGCCGCCUUUGCGCCACAGAGCAUGAAGAGCCACUGAGAUUGCCUCUGUUCCCUGACUUCCUGAGGAUGUGUAUUCUCUGCUCAGAUCCCCUCCCGAGUCCCCGAGCCUUGUUUGGUCUCUCCGGCCCCUUCUUGUCCCUGUAGCGCACUUUGAGCCUCUUGUUUCCUCAGAUCCCCUCCUGAGGCCUUCCUCAUGUCCUGAAGUACCCCUUUUGCCCUCUCUCUGGGCUCUCCUAUCAGCCCUUGAGCCCCCCCCAUUACCUCUGUCCUUUGCUCCAGAAGCCAUCCGAAGGUCCCAUCGUGCUCCAGAGCCUUCUGCUGCCCAUCACUGGGGUGCUGGGAAGCAUCAUCAGUGCCGCUGUGUUGCGCUGUGCCCAGGCACGCAGUGUGGAGGAACACCCUUCUCCCUGCGCUCCACUCUGCCUGAGCUGGCAGCCGCAUCCUCCCAGGUGAGUACUGGGGGGGUGCCUGGGCUGCUGGGUGUGGGGCAGAAAGAAGGGGCUUGGGGCAGGACAUGAAGGACCACACAGGUGAGAACCAGUUGCCCUGGAUGCUCGAGGUGGGCAGCGACUGGAAAAGAGUGGCAGGAAGAGAGCAAGAUGGUGAGGAUGGAUGUGCGUUAUCAGAGGCAGCGCUGUGGGGAGGAGCAAUUUCUUCCUGUCCUCUGGAGGGGAAAAAAAACAAUGUCAAAGCUGUCCUGGAGAAAUACUUGCCAUUUAGGUUAUGAAACUGCAUGACUUCCUGAGAACGGUUGUGUGCGUGUCGUGUUGCAGGUCAGGACUGCCUGGGCAGGGAUCCCCAAGUUGCGUGCCGAGCCCGCAGGACAGCUGUCUGUGGAAUGAAAGUGAAGGAUGACUUCUCAGAGUGUAGUGAGUGACCAUGGGGAGAUGACUGUGGAUCUGACUGCUGAAGAGUGCGUGGAAUUGAAGUAGAUGGUCAGUGUAGAGGAGGAUUGGGCUGUGAAGCAGGUUUGGAAGUUGAGGGCCCACUGCAAUGUGCAGAGCUCCCUCAUUUUCCACCAGGAAUCCAAAUCACGGAGAUGAUGUUGCUGUGAAGAGAUGGUUGUGAAGAUGCUAAGGACAGCUGUCUGUCUCACGUAGAAUAAAAUUCUGUGUGCUCUG